UACGUAGGGUGCGAGCGUUAAUCGGAAUUACUGGGCGUAAAGGGAGCGUAGGCGGGUUUUUAAGUUAGGUGUUUAAUCCCGGGGCCCAACCCCGGACCGGCACUUAAAACUGGGAAUCUUGAAUAGUGGAGAGGUCGGUGGAAUUGGGGGUGUAGCGGUGGAAUGCGUAGAGAUCCCCAAGAACACCAGUUGCGAAGGCGGCCGACUGGACACAUAUUGACGCUGAGGCUCGAAAGCAUGGGGAGCAAACAGG
rnacentral:rRNA from 1 species